rnacentral:rRNA from 1 species
CANNACUGGCUAGGAUGACGCUGGCGGCGUGCCUAACACAUGCAAGUCGAGCGAUCUUCUUCGGAAGAGAGCGGCGGACGGGUGAGUAACGCGUGGGUAACCUGCCCUGUACACACGGAUAACAUACCGAAAGGUAUGCUAAUACGGGAUAACAUAUUUUUAUCGCAUGGUAAAAAUAUCAAAGCUCCGGCGGUACAGGAUGGACCCGCGUCUGAUUAGCUAGUUGGUAAGGUAACGGCUUACCAAGGCGACGAUCAGUAGCCGACCUGAGAGGGUGAUCGGCCACAUUGGAACUGAGACACGGUCCAAACUCCUACGGGAGGCAGCAGUGGGGAAUAUUGCACAAUGGGCGAAAGCCUGAUGCAGCAACGCCGCGUGAGCGAUGAAGGCCUUUCGGGUCGUAAAGCUCUGUCCUCCAGGAAGAUAAUGACCGUACUUUGAGGAGGAAGCCCCGGGCUAACUACGUGCCAGCAGCCGCGGUAAUACGUAAGGGGGCUAGCGUUAUCUCGGAAUUACUGGGCGUAAAGGGUGCGUAAGUGGUUUUCUCUAAGUCAGAAGUGAAAAGCUACGGCUCAACCGUAGUAAGCUUUUGAAACUAAGAGACUUGAGUGCAGGAGAGGAGAGUAGAAUUCCUAGUGUAGCGGUGAAAUGCGUAGAUAUUUAGAGGAAUACCAGUUGCGAAGCGGCUCUCUGGACUGUAACUGACACUGAGGCACGAAAGCGUGGGGAGCAAACAGGAUUAGAUACCCUGGUAGUCCACGCCGUAACGAUGAGUACUAGCUGUCGGGGGGUACCCCCCUCCGGUGGCGCAGCUAACGCAUUAAGUACUCCUCCCUGGGGAAGUACGCUCGCCAGAGUGAAACUCCAAGANUGACCGGGGAGCCCGCACNAGUAGCGAGCAUGUGGUUUAUUUCUUAGCACGCGAGAAACUACCUAAGCUGACAUCCU